AAGCUUAUGAUGGGGGACACUUCUUUGUAAGUCCUUAAAACGCUCCCAUGCUUCAUAGAGCGACUCCCCAUCGAAUUGCACAAACUCGAGAAUGUCCUUAGUUAGCUU